CAGCCGCCGCGGUAAUACGAAGGGGGCUAGCGUUGCUCGGAAUUACUGGGCGUAAAGGGCGCGUAGGCGGACAGUUCAGUCGGGGGUGAAAGCCCGGGGCUCAACCUCGGAAUCGCCUUCGAUACUGGCUGUCUUGAGUAUGAGAGAGGUGUGUGGAACUCCGAGUGUAGAGGUGAAAUUCGUAGAUAUUCGGAAGAACACCAGUGGCGAAGGCGGCUUACUGGCUCAUACUGGACGCUGAGGUGCGAAAGCGUGGGGAGCAAACAGGAUUAGAUACCCCCGUAGUCCCUGUCUCUUAUAC
rnacentral:rRNA from 1 species